AUACGGAGGGCGCGAACGUUGCUCGGAAUCAUUGGGCGUAAAGCGCACGUAGGCGGCCUGAUAAGUCGGAUGUGAAAGCCCUCGGCUCAACCGAGGAAGUGCAUUCGAAACUGUCAGGCUUGAGUAUGGGAGAGGGUUGCGGAAUUCCCGGUGUAGAGGUGAAAUUCGUAGAUAUCGGGAGGAACACCAGUGGCGAAGGCGGCAGCCUGGACCAAUACUGACGCUGGGGUGCGAAAGCGUGGGGAGCAAACAGGAUUAGAAACCCCUGUAGUCC
rnacentral:rRNA from 1 species